CACAGAGGUCCCAAGCGUUGUUCGGAUUCACUGGGCGUAAAGGGUGCGUAGGCGGUCGGGUAAGUCUGGCGUGAAAUCUCCAAGCCUAACUUGGAAACUGCGUUGGAUACUAUCCGGCUCGAGGAAUGGAGGGGAGACUGGAAUACUUGGUGUAGCAGUGAAAUGCGUAGAUAUCAAGUGGAACACCAGUGGCGAAGGCGAGUCUCUGGACAUUUCCUGACGCUGAGGCACGAAAGCCAGGGGAGCAAACGGG
rnacentral:rRNA from 1 species